rnacentral:lncRNA from 1 species
AUUUGUGACACUGCCGGAGAGAGAUGCCGGUGGGCAGGGACGCCAACACACACCAUCGAUCUAUCUCAUUACACAUGCAGUUGCAGCAGCCUCGAGGUGGACACACAAUUAAACUGCUGAAACAAUAAUAUUGUUUUAGUAUUAAAAUAUGUUCCGUAUGCUGGAGAAUUAAUGUUAGCUACUUAGUGGCGUUAGUGUCAUAGAGGUAAACGAGAGGUUAGUCUGAUCCGGCUGAGCGUUAGUGUCAUGGAGGUAAACGAGAGGCUAGUCUGAUCCGGCUGAGCGUUAGUGUCAUGGAGGUAAACGAGAGGUUAAGUCUGAUCCGGCUGAGCGUUAGUGUCAUGGAGGUAAACGAGAGGUUAAGUCUGAUCCGGCUGAGCGUUAGUGUCAUGGAGGUAAACGAGAGGCUAGUCUGAUCCGGCUGAGCGUUAGUGUCAUGGAGGUAAACGAGAGGUUAAGUCUGAUCCGGCUGAGCGUUAGUGUCAUGGAGGUAAACGAGAGGUUAAGUCUGAUCCGGCUGAGCGUUAGUGUCAUGGAGGUAAACGAGAGGUUAAGUCUGAUCCGGCUGAGCGUUAGUGUCAUGGAGGU